rnacentral:rRNA from 1 species
UACGUAGGGUGCGAGCGUUAAUCGGAAUUACUGGGCGUAAAGCGUGCGCAGGCGGUUUUGUAAGUCCGCUGUGAAAUCCCCGGGCUUAACCUGGGAAUGGCAUUUGGGACUGCAAGGCUCGAGUGCGGCAGAGGAGACUGGAAUUCCUGGUGUAGCAGUGAAAUGCGUAGAUAUCAGGAGGAACACCGAUGGCGAAGGCAGGUCUCUGGGCUGACACUGACGCUCAUGCACGAAAGCGUGGGGAGCAAACAGG